CAGGAGAGUAUAUUCUGGUAGUGGAAGUACGA
rnacentral:sRNA from 1 species